rnacentral:misc_RNA from 1 species
GAACAUAAAAAAAAUUGAAAGAAAAAUAAGAAUAGAAUAAAUUUUUUUUUUAUAAAAAAAUGGCACUCAGAGCUAGCUAUUUAUCGGCAAAGAAAAAAAAUCUAAUUAAACUGUUUAAAAGAAAACAUUGAAUAAACGGCCAUAGAGCCGUUUGAAAGACAAAUAACCGGCCAUUACAAUGUCAAACGUUGAUAUUGGGAAUGAAAUAAUCCUCAGUUAAUCCCGAAUUAUAUUUCAACAUCAGGGAUUUUAGCUUCUCAAUCCACUGAUUUCUCUUGAUGCAGCUUAUUAAAUUCCUCAACAACAUCCAAAAUUCCUAUUUCCCCAAACCAUCUACAUAACUCUUCAAAAAAUUAAUUCCAAGAGGCCAAUGGCUUUUGGAUUUGCCACCCUUGAAACUAAUUAUCAGCUUUUCCCCCAAAAAAUAGGGUAGCCACCUCAACCUUCUGCUCCUCAGGCACCUGGAAGUAACGCUGGCAUUUCCUAACCCAUAACCUAGGGUUUUCACCAUCAAAUUGGGGCAAUUCUAUUUUUAAUUUCAUAGGAUUAUUCCAACUUACAGAAUCGAUGGAAUUUCCCCCACUUGACUCACCAACCUUCUUUCCCUUCGGAAGAGUCAAAAUUCUCCUCACCUCAUAAGCUAGGAAGCCUGAUUUAGGAAUCAAAUUAACCACAGGAGUAGAAGAGUCUUUACCUUUUUGCUGUGAAUCCUUGAACAUUUCCAGCACCCGAUCCAAUUUCUGCGCCAGUUUCAACUUGUUACGAUCCAUUUUCUGAAAAAUCUCACUAUGUUCCUCACGUUUUCUCAAAUCAGUCCCAUGUAAUUCCUAGCUCAGAUCUUGCAAUAUUUGUUCUAGAGUUUGCAUUUGUUUUUCAAUUCCUUGUGAUGGCCCUAUCUGGCUCUGCACCACCAUCACUUGUUUCUUCCUCGCCAGCUUUAAUUCAGCUAGGGCUGGAUCCUCUGAAUCGACGAGCUCUGAUACCAUGUUGUCAGGCCUUCUGGACAUAAGACCUAACUCACAAUCUCAGAGAAGGUUUUAAUUAGAGGGAACGAGAACAGAAUAUUGAAGAGAAGAGGAAGAGAGAAGAAUAACAGAGAAGAUUCAAGAAAGAGAGAAAAAGGGGGAGAGAAAAUAGAGAAAAUAUUAGGGAGAAACUGGUAUUUG